AAAUAAGAUAAAAAAAUGAGUUAUCAUUUUACAUCCAUCCAGCGAUGAGAAUUUAGAAGGAAUUGACACUUAGGGAGUACCAAAAAAUUUAGAUUAUUUUGAGGAAACUGUGCCUUUGUUCAAUGGCGAUAAGUAUGUCCUGGAACAUUUUGGCAUCAUCAGAGUAAAAGUAGUAGAGAUGUUACAGGUUCAUUCAACACAUCCAAAAGUUGUUUACACAAAAUAGUAAGGAGAAUCACUUUUUUAUCUGCUGAAUACGUUCGUUGGCCAAAUGAGUAAAUGACAAUGAAAAACAGACUAUUUAAAGAUAUUUUCGUUAUUGCAAUUUCCCAGGGGGCUUAUGUGAAAAUCGAUAAACCAAAGGAAGAUCCAGAUUCAUAUUAAAAUAGGAACAAAAAUAUUCAAUACAGGCACAAAUGGUUUAUGAUCACGAGAAAAUGAUCAGGGAUAUAUUUGUUGUAUAUCCAGGUUCUGUACACUAUAGCAGAGUUUUAAGGAGAUCCAAUUUGUUUGCAGCUCUUCCACAAAGAUGUGGUGAAUACUAUAUUUUAGGUGAUAGUGAAUACACAUGUUUAAACAUUUUUUUACUCCAGUUAAAGACAAGGGUCAUUUAACAAGACAGUAAAGAAAUUAUAAUUAUUGUUCAAAAAUACAUAUGGGAUAGAGCAUUGUUUUGGAUUUCUCAAACAAAGAUUUAUAGGCAGCUGUAUCACCAUCCAUUAAGAAAUAUUAGAGAUAUAGUCCCAUUUAUAAGGGCUAGUGCAGUGUUACAUAACUUAGCAAUUGAUGAUAAUUUGCCCAUCAAUUGAAUGUUGAUGCACCUCAUCUUCUCAUUACCAACAAAUAUGAAAUUGAUGCUGUAUAUAGGUGGUGUUACAAAAAGAAAUUCAUGCAAGGUUUAAAUUUGAUUUUGUAAUAAUUGUGUUUAAUAAACUAUAUUCAGACACUUUCAAA